rnacentral:sRNA from 1 species
GCCAGGUGUGGUGGUGUGCACCUGUAGUCCCAGCUACCUGGGAGGCUGAGAUGGGAGGAUUGCUUGAGCCCAGGAGUUUGAGGCUGUAGUGAGCUAUGAUCACGCCACUGCACUCCAGCCCAGGCAACAAAGCAAGACCUUUUCUCAA